rnacentral:rRNA from 1 species
UCCAGACUCCUACGGGAGGCAGCAGUCGAGAAUCAUUCACAAUGGGGGAAACCCUGAUGGUGCGACGCCGCGUGGGGGAAUGAAGGUCUUCGGAUUGUAAACCCCUGUCAUGUGGGAGCAAAUUAAAAAGAUAGUACCACAAGAGGAAGAGACGGCUAACUCUGUGCCAGCAGCCGCGGUAAUACGGGGGGUGCAAGCGUUGUCCGGAAUCAUUGGGCGUAAAGCGUUCGUAGGCGGUAUGUCAAGUCUGAUGUUAAAGCCCGGGGCUCAACUCCGGUUCGGCAUUGGAUACUGGCAAACUAGAAUGUGGUAGAGGUAAAGGGAAUUCCUGGUGUAGCGGUGAAAUGCGUAGAUAUCAGGAGGAACAUCGGUGGCGAAAGCGCUUUACUGGACCAUUAUUGACGCUGAGGAACGAAAGCCAGGGGAGCAAAUGGGAUUAGAUACCCUGGUAUA